UACGUAGGCAGCAAGCGUUGUUCGGAGUUACUGGGCGUAAAGAGUGCGUAGGCGGUUCCGUAAGUUUGGUGUGAAAUCUCCCGGCUCAACUGGGAGGGUGCGCCGAAGACUGCGGUCCUUGAGUGUGGGAAAGGUAGGCGGAAUUCCUGGUGUAGCGGUGAAAUGCGUAGAUAUCAGGAGGAAUACCGAUGGCGAAGGCAGGUCUCUGGGCUAGAACUGACGCUCAUGCACGAAAGCGUGGGGAGCAAACAGG
rnacentral:rRNA from 1 species